UAGGGAAUCUUCGGCAAUGGGGGCAACCCUGACCGAGCAACGCCGCGUGAGUGAAGAAGGUUUUCGGAUCGUAAAGCUCUGUUGUAAGAGAAGAACGUGUGUGAGAGUGGAAAGUUCACACAGUGACGGUAACUUACCAGAAAGGGACGGCUAACUACGUGCCAGCAGCCGCGGUAAUACGUAGGUCCCGAGCGUUGUCCGGAUUUAUUGGGCGUAAAGCGAGCGCAGGCGGUUUAAUAAGUCUGAAGUUAAAGGCAGUGGCUUAACCAUUGUUCGCUUUGGAAACUGUUAAACUUGAGUGCAGAAGGGGAGAGUGGAAUUCCAUGUGUAGCGGUGAAAUGCGUAGAUAUAUGGAUGAACACCGGUGGCGAAAGCGGCUCUCUGGUCUGUAACUGACGCUGAGGCUCGAAAGCGUGGGGAGCAAACAGG
rnacentral:rRNA from 1 species